GUUAACGUCACCGUCAAGUCGCAGGAUGUUGGUGUAAUUUUGCACUAAAUCGAAACUAAUUCCAGAAUUGCCUCUUCAGCCGCAGAAGCCAGUUGACCUCAGGAUUCAUCAGAAUUUACAAAUCAAUAAAAAUGAAGAAAAAGAUCCUCGUGUGGAGCAUCUUCUUGUGCAUGUGGAUCACCUGUGCAGAUAUUUCAGAUUCACCAUCCUGCAAAAACAUCUCCGCCCACGUCGGCUCCACCGCACGACUACCAUGUGACUGCAGCACGUCAGCCAAUCAGAAGCCAGUAUUUAGAUGGCGUUUAAAUUCUAUAUUUGUGAUUGAGAGUGACGGGACGUCCACAGCAGCAGGUUCUGGAUAUGAGGAGCGUGUGGAGGUUUCUAAAGAGGAUCUGCAGGGUGGAGACUGUUCUCUGCUGUUGAAGAAUAUAAAAGCUGCUGAUUCUGGAGCUUAUCAAUGCAAUAAAAUCGGGAAUAAAAGAGAGACAGUGCUGCAGAGAAUAUGUCUCUCUGUUGAAGGUAACUUGAGUAAAAAUCGCAGUUUAAACACUAGAUUUGUUUUUUAUUAUUUUAAACAAAAUCAUUACGUUUGGAAAGUUUAUUUCCGUGGCUGUUUGCAGGAGCAGAAACGUUUUACAGCUGAUCAUAA
rnacentral:lncRNA from 1 species